AUUUAGCCCUGAUUGAAGCGACAUCCUUUUUGUCCGCUGCGGCGGAUAAAAAGAUAUAGCGGAAAGCAGGACAGAUU
rnacentral:sRNA from 1 species